UUUGGCUAAGAUCAAGUGUAGUAUCUG
rnacentral:piRNA from 5 species